rnacentral:rRNA from 1 species
GACAGAAUGCUUAACACAUGCAAGUCUAUGAGGAAAGUUUUAGCUUGCUAAAUGGGACUCAUGGCGGACGGUGAGUAACGCGUAAAGAACUUGCCCUUUAGACUGGGAUAACAGAGGGAAACUUCUGAUAAAUACUGGAUAAGUUAGUAUAUCGCAUGAUAUGCAAAUGAAAGCUACGGCACUAAAGGAGAGCUUUGCGUCCUAUUAGCUAGUUGGUAAGGUAAGAGCUUACCAAGGCGAUGAUAGGUAGCCGGCCUGAGAGGGUGGACGGCCACAAGGGGACUGAGAUACGGCCCUUACUCCUACGGGGAGGCAGCAGUGGGGAAUAUUGGACAAUGGAGGGAACUCUGAUCCAGCAAUUCUGUGUGUGUGAAGAAGGUUUUAGGACUGUAAAACACUUUUAGUAGGGAAGAAAAAAAUGACGGUACCUACAGAAGAAGCAACGGCUAAAUACGUGCCAGCAGCCGCGGGUAAU